ACGUAGGGGGCAAGCGUUGUCCGGAAUUACUGGGCGUAAAGAGUACGUAGGCGGUUUGUUAAGUUAGGUGUGAAAGUUUGCAGCUCAACUGUAAAAGUGCCUUUAAAACUGGCAGACUUGAGUCUCGGAGAGGUAAGCGGAAUUCCUAGUGUAGCGGUGAAAUGCGUAGAGAUUAGGAAGAACACCGAUGGCGAAGGCAGCUUACUGGACUAGUACUGACGCUCAGGUACGAAAGCGUGGGGAGCAAACAG
rnacentral:rRNA from 1 species